UACAGAGGGGGCAAGCGUUGUCCGGAAUUACUGGGCGUACAGCGCGCGCAGGCGGGCCGUGACGUGCCCUGUGACAGCCGUCGGCUUAACCGACGGAGGCCAGGGUAGACGCACGACCUGGAGGCAGGGAGAGGUAAGCGGAAUUCCUGGUGUAGCGGUGAAAUGCGUAGAUAUCAGGAGGAACACCGGCGGUGUAGACGGCUUACUGGACCAUAACUGACGCUGAGGCACGAAAGUGUGGGGAGCAAACAGG
rnacentral:rRNA from 1 species